rnacentral:antisense_RNA from 1 species
GAAAACCUGGAUAAAGAAAAUGUGGCACAUACACAGCAUGGAAUACUAUGCAGCCAUAAAUAAGGAUGAAUUCAUGUCCUUUGCAGGGACAUGGAUGAAGUUGGAAACAUCAUUCUCAGCAAACUAACCUAUUCACAGAUCAUCAUCAGCCAGAGGUGACUUCUGUUGCUUGCAGCUCAGAAUCCUAGAUGUUUCUGGUGGCACUGAAGAGCCUCUGCUGAAGCUCUAUACCAUUUGCCAUUUACAAAGGGAAAUGAAAUAAUAACGCUGACCAUUUGUGGAGCACAUUCUGUCUGGAGGCAAAGGAUGCCAAGAUGGGAAAGCCACAUAAUGGAAGGAUCCUGGAUUUCAGAGCUGUCACUUGGAGGAGGGGCACCCAGUGAAGGUGUCUUAUCUAACCCACACCAUAUCUUCAUGAAGUGGCCAUAUGGAUUUGAUCCCUAUCCUUCAGAGGUGCUCAGCCUAAGGGAACACGGAUAGUAGAUUAAGCACUGACCAGGGGUAUAAAUCCUGCCUUCUCUCAGCCUUACAGAGGAAGAAAACCCUUUCCAAGUUUCCUGUGAUAUUGGGUUUAUGCCCAAUUCUAGUUUAGGCAUGAAGAAACUGAAGCAUGGAGGAAAAACUAAGCAACUAGCCCAACGUCACACAGGCAAGCCAGCCUUGACAAUGUGCUGUUGGCAACCUAGAACAUAAGCAGAGGAGUAUACAGGACGCGAACUUGAUGGUCUCGGGAA